rnacentral:misc_RNA from 1 species
GUGAAUCAUCGAAUCUUUGAACGCAAAUUGCACUCUCUGGUAUUCCGGAGAGUAUGCCUGUUUGAGGGUCAGUUUGAAUAAAAAUCGGGGUGGGUGCUGCCUUCUGUGGUGACGCACCGGAUUUGGGUCGUCUUGCCUUCGGUUAGGUGACCUAAGAUUGUGCGUGAUGUUUUUCGAACGUAU